UACGAAGGGGGCUAGCGUUGCUCGGAAUGACUGGGCGUAAAGGGCUCGUAGGCGGCCAACUAAGUCCGACGUGAAAUCCCCAGGCUUAACCUGGGAACUGCGUCGGAUACUGGAUGGCUUGAAUCCGGGAGAGGGAUGCGGAAUUCCAGGUGUAGCGGUGAAAUGCGUAGAUAUCUGGAGGAACACCGGUGGCGAAGGCGGCAUCCUGGACCGGCAUUGACGCUGAGGAGCGAAAGCCAGGGGAGCAAACGGG
rnacentral:rRNA from 1 species